rnacentral:rRNA from 1 species
AUGAAUUGCAUUAGCUGGAACUGUCGAGGGCUUGGGAACCCUUAGACAGUUUGUGAGCUUCGCAAUAUUGUGAAGCAAGAAGGUCCCGCCCUUCUCUUUGUUAUGGAAAUGUAGAUUGAGGGUAAAUGUGUGGAGAACUUGAAAUCUGUCCUAGGGUUUCAAGGUUGUUUUGCGGUAGAUAGCACUAGUUUAAGUGGUUGCAUCGACUUGUUUUGGAUAGAUGAAGUGCAUGUUGAACUAAAAAACUAUAGCCGAGCGCACAUCGAUGUAAGAGUCAAGAGGAGAGAUGAUCAGAACUCUUGGCGUUUUACAGGUUUUUACGGAGAACCCCGGAUAGAGAACAGACACCACACUUGGGAGUUCUUGCGUACACUUCAUGGCAUUCAACACGAAGGAUGGAUUUGCAUGGGCGACUUUAAUGAAACUAUGUAUGUUGAUGAGCACUUCAGCGUGCAUGAUUGA